UCUCACCACAGUGAAACGCAUAGAAAGCGCUCAAUAUUAUGUCAUUGUGGUGUUCCUAUUUCUAGAAUAAACAAAGGAAAGUUUGGCCCUGAGGGAACUUGCAGUCAAUCAAAGGGUUUCAGAAAAUCCCAUGUGAUAAGCGUGUGCAUGUGGGGACCCAGGGACUCAAAAGGAGGGCCCCUCCACCCAUCUUGAGAAGGCUUUCCAAAAGGCAGGGGUGAGAGAGCUGGGGCCUGCAGGUUAAGCAGAGCUGCCCAGGCAGAGGAGGAAGGAGGGGCUUCAGAUGAUGGGAGGCCCCGUGCAAAGGCCCAGAGAGCAAGAAUCUGUGCUGAGUGCACGGUCUCCAGACACCUCCGUGGGAUAGCCCUGCUCAGGAACAAGGUGGUAGGCAACCAUGAAGUUCUCCUUCUGUAACUCCUCAUAGCUCUAGAAGAAUCAUCGAAACAAACCUGCUGCUGCCCUCAGCUUCCCGUCACCCUGAGCAUGUGGACUGUGUGCAUGAGUGGCGGGGAAGCCACUGAAGAUUUGAAUGGAAGAAAAGAGGAAAAUGAAAAACACUGGUAAUUGCAUGAGCCAAAGAAACUAGAGUGGGCUUUUGCCCGAUCACUCUAGGUCAAGUCUUCAGCAGCACUGUGCGAAGUUGAUUGUGUGGCCUGCACCAUAAUCUAUUAUUAUCACUUAUUUAGGAGGUUUCCAACUAUCUCUUUAAGAAAAAUCUUUGCAAGGUGUUUUCCAAAUGGUGUGACACUGUGGUGUGCCACCCAGCAUGAAAAACCGAAGACUAAGGGGACACAUAACCCACUCCAGUGUUCUCGCCUGGAGAAUCCCAGGGACAGAGGAGCCUGGCGGGCUGCCGUCUAUGGGGUCGCACAGAGUCGGUCAUGACUGAAGCGACUUAGCAGCAGCAGCAAAGGGACACAUUUCCUUGGAGCUACUGUUUAUGUGAUGAUGGAGGCAUUUUUCAACCCCUGUAAAAAGGAUACAUUGCUUGAUAAAUGAUGCUGGGGCAAUUUGCUAUUUA